rnacentral:rRNA from 1 species
UGGGGAAUAUUGCACAAUGGGCGCAAGCCUGAUGCAGCCAUGCCGCGUGUGUGAAGAAGGCCUUCGGGUUGUAAAGCACUUUCAGCGAGGAGGAAGGUGGUGAGCUUAAUACGCUCAUCAAUUGACGUUACUCGCAGAAGAAGCACCGGCUAACUCCGUGCCAGCAGCCGCGGUAAUACGGAGGGUGCAAGCGUUAAUCGGAAUUACUGGGCGUAAAGCGCACGCAGGCGGUUUGUUAAGUCAGAUGUGAAAUCCCCGGGCUCAACCUGGGAACUGCAUUUGAAACUGGCAAGCUAGAGUCUCGUAGAGGGGGGUAGAAUUCCAGGUGUAGCGGUGAAAUGCGUAGAGAUCUGGAGGAAUACCGGUGGCGAAGGCGGCCCCCUGGACGAAGACUGACGCUCAGGUGCGAAAGCGUGGGGCAGCAAACAGGAUUAGAUACCCUGGUAGUCCAGCGCUGUAAACGAUGCGAUUUGGAGGUUGUGCCCUUGAGGCGUGGCUUCCGGAGCUAACGCGUUAAAGUCGACCGCCUGGGGAGUACGGCCGCAAGGUUAAAAC